CCUACGGGAGGCAGCAGUGGGGAAUUUUCCGCAAUGGGCGAAAGCCUGACGGAGUGACGCCGCGUGUGGGAUGAAGGCCUUCGGGUCGUAAACCACUGUCAGUGGGAAAGAUGGGUGUCGGCGCGACAACUGCCGGCAUCUGACGGUACCUGCAGAGGAAGCCCCGGCUAACUCUGUGCCAGCAGCCGCGGUAAGACAGAGGGGGCAAGCGUUGCUCGGAAUUACUGGGCGUAAAGGGCGCGUAGGCGGGAUGGCAAGUCGGUCGUGAAAUCCCUCGGCUCAACCGAGGAGCGUCGAUCGAUACUGCCGUUCUUGAGGGUUGCAGAGGAGACUGGAAUUCCCGGUGUAGCGGUGAAAUGUGUAGAGAUCGGGAGGAACACCGGUGGCGAAGGCGGGUCUCUGGGCAACUCCUGACGCUGAGGCGCGAAAGCGUGGGGAGCAAACGGGAUUAGAUACCCCGGUAGUCCACGCUGUAAACGAUGACGACUAGGUGUGGGGGGGUUCAGUCCCCUCCGUGCCGCAGCUAACGCAUUAAGUCGUCCGCCUGGGGAGUACGGCCGCAAGGUUGAAACUCAAAGGAAUUGACGG
rnacentral:rRNA from 1 species